rnacentral:rRNA from 1 species
ACACCGGCAGCUCAAGUGGUGGCCAUUUUUAUUGGGCCUAAAGCGUUCGUAGCCGGCUUGAUAAGUCUCUGGUGAAAUCCCAUAGCUUAACUGUGGGAAUUGCUGGGGAUACUAUUAGGCUUGAGGCCGGGAGAGGUUAGGGGUACGUCCCAGGGUAGGGGUGAAAUCCUAUAAUCCUGGGAGGACCACCUGUGGCGAAGGCGCCUAACUGGAACGGACCUGACGGUGAGUAACGAAAGCCAGGGGCGC